AGUGAACGCUGGCGGUAGGCCUAACACAUGCAAGUCGAACGGCAGCACAGUAAGAGCUUGCUCUUACGGGUGGCGAGUGGCGGACGGGUGAGGAAUACAUUGGAAUCUACUUUUUCGUGGGGGAUAACGUAGGGAAACUUACGCUAAUACCGCAUACGACCUACGGGUGAAAGCAGGGGAUCUUCGGACCUUGCGCGAUUGAAUGAGCCGAUGUCGGAUUAGCUAGUUGGCGGGGUAAAGGCCCGCCAAGGCGACGAUCCGUAGCUGGUCUGAGAGGAUGAUCAGCCACACUGGAACUGAGACACGGUCCAGACUCCUACGGGAGGCAGCAGUGGGGAAUAUUGGACAAUGGGCGCAAGCCUGAUCCAGCCAUACCGCGUGGGUGAAGAAGGCCUUCGGGUUGUAAAGCCCUUUUGUUGGGAAAGAAAAGCAGCAGGUUAAUACCCCGCUGUUCUGACGGUACCCAAAGAAUAAGCACCGGCUAACUUCGUG
rnacentral:rRNA from 1 species